UGUAUGCCUUGACACAGAACCUGGGGAUCUGUUCUCAGCCAUAUAUCCAACCUGGAGUCACUACAGAGCCCAACAGGGGACUUACCUGAGCAGUGCCUUAAAAUGAGUCUCCCGGAAGAAUGGGGAAAAAUAGGAGAUGAAAAAGGAGAGGCUUAGGCACUCAGAAGACACCAUGAUAUCCCGCUGCUGGGUCUGUUAGGGAUCCAUGAGCAUCGCUGGAGAGGACAUCUAAGUACAGGCAGACAUGGAGGAAAGCUAGAAUUAUCAGAAGCCCCAACUCCGGAAAACCACAAACCAAGCCAUCCCAGGUCCCCCAGGGCCCUGGUGCUUUUUGCCAGAGAGGCGGCAUGCCUGCAGAGGCUGGAGGGGCCACCACGUGGCCUUGCCCGCCAGGGACUUUCAGCCACUUGUGAAGCACCCGUCUCCCAAGUGUUGAGGAAAUCAGGUCCCCCUUUCUCUCUGGUGGCCCGUGUCCCUAGGUUGCCCAGAUUUUUCAGAUGGACGCAAACAGGAGGCCGCAGCAGAUGAGACCAGCUGCCUCAAGGUCCCGCCAUCUUGGUUGGCUCCCUGCUGCGAAGGACCAUAGCCUGGAACUGUGAGC